rnacentral:rRNA from 1 species
GAUGAACGCUGGCGGCGUGCCUAAUACAUGCAAGUCGAGCGAACGGACGAGAAGCUUGCUUCUCUGAUGUUAGCGGCGGACGGGUGAGUAACACGUGGAUAACCUACCUAUAAGACUGGGAUAACUUCGGGAAACCGGAGCUAAUACCGGAUAAUAUUUUGAACCGCAUGGUUCAAAAGUGAAAGACGGUCUUGCUGUCACUUAUAGAUGGAUCCGCGCUGCAUUAGCUAGUUGGUAAGGUAACGGCUUACCAAGGCAACUAUGCAUAGCCGACCUGAGAGGGUGAUCGGCCACACUGGAACUGAGACACGGUCCAGACUCCUACGGGAGGCAGCAGUAGGGAAUCUUCCGCAAUGGGCGAAAGCCUGACGGAGCAACGCCGCGUGAGUGAUGAAGGUCUUCGGAUCGUAAAACUCUGUUAUUAGGGAAGAACAUAUGUGUAAGUAACUGUGCACAUCUUGACGGUACCUAAUCAGAAAGCAACGGCUAACUACGUG